GACGAACGCUGGCGGCGUGCCUAACACAUGCCAGUCGAACGAGCGGGAGAGAGCUUGCUUUCUCGAGCGAGUGGCGAACGGGUGAGUAACACGUGAGGAACCUGCCCCAAAGAGGGGGACAACAGUUGGAAACGACUGCUAAUACCGCAUAAGCUCACUGCUCGGCAUCGAGCAGGGGGAAAAGGAGCAAUAUGCUUUGAGAUGUCGUCGCGUCCGCUCAGCUGGUUGUUGAGGUAACGGUACACCAUGGCGACGACCGCUAGACGGACCGUGAGGUUGAACGGACACAUUGGCACUGGGACACGGCACAGACUCCUACGCGAGGGAGCAGUGGGGGAUAUUGCACAGUGGGGGAAACCCUGAUGCAGCGACGCCGCGUAGAGGAUGAUGGUCUUCAGAUUGUAAUCUGCUGUUGUCGGGGAAGAUAAUGACGGUACCCAACAAGGAAGUGACGGCUAACUACGUG
rnacentral:rRNA from 1 species